rnacentral:rRNA from 1 species
GUAGGGAAUAUUGGGCAAUGGAUGCAAGUCUGACCCAGCCAUCCCGCGUGCCGGAAGAAGGCCCUCAGGGUUGUAAACGGCUUUUGACGGUGAAGAAUCGACAGGAUGCGUCCUGUUUUGACGGUAGCCGUUGAAUAAGCACCGGCUAACUCCGUGCCAGCAGCCGCGGUAAUACGGAGGGUGCGAGCGUUGUCCGGAUUUAUUGGGUUUAAAGUGUGCGUAGGCUGGAAGGCCAGUCAGCGGUGAAAAGCUGUCGCUUAACGAUAGUCUUGGCGCAGAUACUUCCUUUCUUGGAUGAGGAGGAGGCCACUGGAACGGAUGGUGUAGCGGUGAAAUGCAUAGAUAUCAUCCAGAACACCGAUUGCGAAGGCAGGUGGCUGUACCUUAAUCGACGCUGAUGCACGAAAGCAUGGGGAGCAAACAGGAUUAGAUACCCGAGUAGUCC